GAGUUUGAUCCUGGCUCAGGAUGAACGUUGGCGGCGUGCCUAAUACAUGCAAGUCGAACGAAGAAAUCGGAGUAGCAAUACACUGAUUUUCUUAGUGGCGAACGGGUGAGUAACGCGUUGGUAACCUACCCCAAAGAGAGGGAUAACAGUCCGAAAGGGCUACUAAUACCUUAUGUUAUCAUUUGGCUUAGACGCCUUAUGAUUAAAGGAGCUUGCUCCGCUUUGGGAGGGGCCUGCGUGCCAUCAGCUAGUUGGUAGGGUAAUGGCCUACCAAGGCGAUGACGGCUAGGGGACCUGAGAGGGUGGCCCCCCACAAUGGAACUGAAACACGGUCCAUACACCUACGGGUGGCAGCAGUAGGGAAUAUUGGUAAUCUGCGAAAGCGGGAACCAGCAACGCCGCGUGUGCGAAGAAGGCCUUCGGGUUGUAAAGCACUUUUCGGGAGGAAGAAGGAAGGACUGUACUCCCGGAAUAAGUCUCGGCUAACUACGUGCUAGCAGCCGCGGUAAUACGUAGGAGGCAAACGUUAUCCGGAUUUACUGGGCGUAAAGCGCGUGCAGGCGGUUUGAUAAGUUGGAUGUGAAAGCUCCCGGCUCAACUGGGAGAGGUCAUUCAAUACUGUCAGACUUGAGGAUGGUAGAGGGAGGUGGAAUUCCGGGUGUAGUGGUGAAAUGCGCAGAUAUCCGGAGGAACACCAGUGGCGAAAGCGGCCUCCUGGACCAUUCCUGACGCUCAGACGCGAAAGCUAGGGUAGCAAACGGGAUUAGAGACCCCGGUAGUCCUAGCUGUAAACGAUGUGAACUUGGCGUCGGUGGGAUUAAAUCCAUCGGUGUCGAAGCUAACGCGAUA
rnacentral:rRNA from 1 species